AGUGGGGAAUAUUGGACAAUGGGCGAAAGCCUGAUCCAGCCAUGCCGCGUGUGUGAAGAAGGUCUUCGGAUUGUAAAGCACUUUNAGUUGGGAGGAAGGGCAGUAAGUUAAUACCUUGCUGUUUUGACGUUACCAACANAAUAAGCNCCGGCUAACUUCGUGCCAGCANACCGCGGUAAU
rnacentral:rRNA from 1 species